GGCGGUCUUCGGUAGUGGCCGCCGGGAGUCCCCCUUGAGGUGGGGUGUGUCCGGCCGCUUCGAUCGACGGCCGUA
rfam:Mycobacterium brisbanense DNA, contig: contig21, strain: JCM15654.